rnacentral:misc_RNA from 1 species
UACGUAGGGGGCGAGCGUUGUCCGGAUUUAUUGGGCGUAAAGGGCGUGUAGGCGGCCGCGCAAGUCGUGUGUGAAAUCUCCCGGCUCAACUGGGAGGGGCCGCACGAGACUGCGGGGCUGGAGGCCGGUAGGGGGAAGCGGAAUUCCCGGUGUAGUGGUGGAAUGCGUAGAGAUCGGGAGGAACACCAGUGGCGAAGGCGGCUUCCUGGACCGGGCCUGACGCUGAGGCGCGAAAGCGUGGGGAGCGAUCCGG